rnacentral:rRNA from 1 species
GACGAACGCUGGCGGCGUGCUUAACACAUGCAAGUCGAACGGUGAAAGCGGAGCUUGCUCCGCUGGAUCAGUGGCGAACGGGUGAGUAACACGUGGGCAACCUGCCCCUCACUUCGGGAUAACUCCGGGAAACCGGGGCUAAUACCGGAUAUGACCUCCUUGGGCAUCCUUGGAGGUGGAAAGUUUUUCGGUGAGGGAUGGGCCCGCGGCCUAUCAGCUGGUUGGUGAGGGAGUGGCUCACCAAGGCGACGACGGGUAGCCGGCCUGAGAGGGCGACCGGCCACACGGGGACUGAGACACGGCCCAGACUCCUACGGGAGGCAGCAGUGGGGAAUAUUGCGCAAUGGGCGAAAGCCUGACGCAGCAACGCCGCGUGCGGGAUGACGGCCUUCGGGUUGUAAACCGCUUUCAGCAGGGAAGAAGCCGCAAGGUGACGGUACCUGCAGAAGAAGCACCGGCUAACUACGUGCCAGCAGCCGCGGUAAGAC